rnacentral:tRNA from 1 species
GUUGAUGUAGUUCAAGUGGAAGAGUUCCUAAUUAUAAAUCAAGAGAUUAAGGGUUCAAAUCCCGUUUUAAACA